GACGGAGGAUGCAAGCGUUAUCCGGAAUGAUUGGGCGUAAAGCGUCCGCAGGUGGCAGUUCAAGUCUGCUGUCAAAGACCGGGGCUUAACUUCGGAAAGGCAGUGGAAACUGAACAGCUAGAGUAUGGUAGGGGCAGAGGGAAUUCCUGGUGUAGCGGUGAAAUGCGUAGAUAUCAGGAAGAACACCAGUGGCGAAGGCGGCUCACUGGCCCGAUACUGACGCUGAGGUGCGAAAGCGUGGGGAGCAAACAGG
rnacentral:rRNA from 1 species